CCUACGGGAGGCAGCAGUGGGGAAUUUUGGACAAUGGGGGCAACCCUGAUCCAGCCAUGCCGCGUGAGUGAAGAAGGCCUUCGGGUUGUAAAGCUCUUUCAGACGGAAAGAAACGGUUACGGCUAAUACCCGUGACUAAUGACGGUACCGUCAGAAGAAGCACCGGCUAACUACGUGCCAGCAGCCGCGGUAAUACGUAGGGUGCGAGCGUUAAUCGGAAUUACUGGGCGUAAAGCGUGCGCAGGCGGUUUUGUAAGACAGACGUGAAAUCCCCGGGCUUAACCUGGGAACUGCGUUUGUGACUGCAAGACUAGAGUACGGCAGAGGGGGGUAGAAUUCCACGUGUAGCAGUGAAAUGCGUAGAUAUGUGGAGGAAUACCGAUAGCGAAGGCAGCCCCCUGGGUCGAUACUGACGCUCAUGCACGAAAGCGUGGGGAGCAAACAGGAUUAGAUACCCUGGUAGUCCACGCCCUAAACGAUGUCAACUAGGUGUUGGGGAAGGAGACUUCUUUAGUACCGCAGCUAACGCGAUAAGUUGACCGCCUGGGGAGUACGGUCGCAAGAUUAAAACUCAAAGGAAUUGACGG
rnacentral:rRNA from 1 species